GCAAGAUGUCAGCAUUCACGCUUGGUAUUUUUCAUACAGGUGUUUAUCACACAACAUCAUGCCAAUGUUAACCAAAUCUACAGAUGGCACAACACCAUAUGCCAAUGUUAACCAAAUCUACAGAUGGCAUGGCAAUAUACCAAAACUCAUGAUAUUACACCGAGGGAGAUGGUAAGCUCCCAAGGAACAAACAGAUUGUCAUGUUUCAGAUUUUCUGAAAGACCCAUGGAAUGUACUCAGAUUUCAGAUUUUCAUUCGGAGAUAGAUCAAAAGAUGUACACAAGAUGUAUUGGAACGUGGGCUAAACACCCAGGUACAUGCACCAUGAAGUACACUGGACAAGCAAACCUGCAUCACCGCAACUGUGAAUAUGUGGCAUCGCUUUUCCAAGCAAAGCAGAACAAAAAUUAGGCAGAAGAUAAUUAGGCAUCACAAGAUCUGGAGAACUAAAAAGACAACUAGCUGACUGGUUGUACCAUGAUUCAAAUACUUAAGGCAAAAUCCAACAAAGUUUAUAAUCUACCAACUAGAACAUACAACCUGGACACAAAAGAUGGUGCAACACCACACAGGAUCCAUGUUGUUAGCUUGGCAAAAUAAGAGGAAAAUCUUUAAUUGUGAUAUGUCUAGCUCACAUAGCAUUCAUAACUAAGCAUGCCAGUGUAAACAGUACCAUUCAUAAUUAAACCCACAAGAGAGAACUGGGGCUAAUUUGUCCCGCUGCAGCUUCAGUGCUAAUUUGGACAAUUAAUCUCCUUCUGCCUUCGUUUCUUCUCCUGCUUCUCCAAUCUGUAAUGCAAACACAGGUGAUCAAAAGAAAAAUCAAAUAACACAAUUACUGUCACAGGGAACAUGGAGGGCGAGGGACUUACUUCUCUUGCUCUUCCAUAGCAUUACACCUGUUGUUUCUGGUCCAUGCAUGGCUUCGCACAUUUCCAUUUGCUUGUCAACACCACUUGAUCUUUCGACACACUCUUCUGAAAUAUUAAAAUAUGUCUGCCUAUAUCAUUUGUGAUAUACAUGAUGACAAAUAUACAUAAAAGUAUACAAUGUGAGCUUCGUUGCUGGUAAAUGCAACCUCACAAAUUGUCCUGUAUCUUGUGAAUUGUAGGUAAAAACUAGGCUAGCUAGAAUUAAACAUGCUUGUCAAGAAAUUUUCAAGGUAGUCUCACAAAAAAAUUUAGCUAACAUGGUCUCCAUCAGCGAGCUGAGAAAGCGGGGUACACACAAGAUUCAUACAUAUCCCCAAACGCCAUUCUCCAUCUUUUGGUAGUAAGUACUCCCUCCAUCCCAUAAUAUCUAGAAUGUAAUGAUUACUUAUGUCAGUUAGUAAUCCAAAAAUUAUCUUAUACGCUACUAACUAGAAUGUAAUGCACCUUAUGUCACAUAUGAUUCUUUCAUUUUGUACACUACAUGUCACCAUUAAUUUGAAGCAGGAAAUUGUCACACAAUAAGCUAAGUUUCACCAUGCAACCUGUGUGUUGUUUCUUGGGAUGCAUCAUUUUUCAUUCUGCCAUCAAGUGAUAUGAAGUGACGAGGUUAACUCGAUGUUCAAAGUGGUGUAUAUGCUGAUAAGACAUCAUUUCUGUCCAAAAAUAAAUUAGUGAUCUAAACGAUCUUAUAUUUCUUUACAGAGGGAGUAAAUAUCAGGAUGCACAAAUAGGCACAAGAACGGCGAUAUCACGACACUCCCAUAACUAGACAUGUUAAUAUCUAGUAUUAGUUUUGUGUGUCUCUGUUGACACUUCACAUGUACGGGUUAAUCUUGCAUCCGUGUGUGAUGCGUAUCAUCGCAGAAGGAAAACCAUUUCUGGAGUAGUGUUGUUUAUACGCACAGCAAGGGGAUGCUAUUGUAGUACAUCACCAGAAAACAAGUAAUAGUGUACAUGACUUCCACCAAAUACUACUGGUACAUUAGUGCAUGCAUUUGGUGAAGAGCUGACAGGACCGUGGAUCUAUCUACAUCCAAACCCAGUGCGUGUAUCUCAUCUGAUCUGAUCUCAGUGAUCUGGUUGAUGUAGUUGCUUACAUAGAAAGAUAAGAGGAGGACGUGGAGGCGCAGGGGGAGGAAAUGAAAUGCUGACUAGCAGGAAUGGUGGUGGAAUAUCAGAUGGGACCACGCUUUGCAUGGUGCCAUGCUAACAUUUCUCAAGAAAAAUAUUCAAAUGCUUUCAGUACUCACAAACCAUCUAUAUAGAAUUGCAGAUACAAAUUUGAAACACACUGUGAGAAACAUGAAAGGCAAAUUCAGUAUGAAUGGUGUGGCAGAAAAUACAAAAUCCUGAGUGACACUACUCACAAUCAGUUUUUUGUCUUCUUUGUUUCAACGUGUGCACUUCGAGUUCAGACUUCAUCUUUUAGCUGACUACACAAACACAACUCCUUACACUCGCCACUUUCCAAUAAUUUUAAGCAGCAUCUAUAUGUCCGUUUCUAAAUUCUGCAUUAUGUGACAAAUUACGGUGUGGGAGCAUAAGCUAUCUUACCAAGAUCUACCUGUUCGCAUCCUACACAAGCCAUAUGAACGAUCAUCUUCAUCCCGUUCAUUCAGCUAGUCGAACUUACAGAAAGUAUGGCAGCGAAUUUCAAGGCGGCGUACGUCAAACAGAGUAGCAUUCAACAAAACAGUAAAUAGCAGGUGCCCUGCAAUGGCUAGCUUCAGGCCGCACCUGUUUGUCCAUCCAGGCGCCUCUGGAUUCACCUUCCUACCUGCCCUGCCUCGGAGAAGCCUCCCACCGGCGGCGGCUGUCGGCUUCCUACCUGCCCUGUCUUGCGCCGCCAACACGCUCGCCGCACCAGGAACGGGAACCGGGUCAGCGCUCGUGUCGGCAAUCCGCUGGAGAUCCGCCAGAGGAACCGGAUCCGGGUGGUCCAAGCUGUCCGCAUCGUAGUGGGAACCUGCAACACACAGCCAUGGAGGGCGGCUUAGCCAUGGUCAGGCGGCUCCCCUGUCGACCGGACUAGGAAAAACUGAAUAACUGAUAGAUCUCCUAGUAGGGGAGGGUUCCCUUACAUGUCGACAGAGUCCAGCAGGAUCUUCCAUCGCCGGUUAGCCGGAGCCAGCGCAGCCUUCCACAGCAGUGGGGGUGGGGGAUAGUUGCCCGCGGCGGCGUCUGGUUUCUAG
rnacentral:lncRNA from 1 species